GGCGGCGGCAGCGGGGCGGGGGAGGCUCGGCCGGCGGCGGGACCCCGCUGCGGGCGGGGAGCGCGGCCGGCCCGGGCGGGGCAGCGCAGGCGAGCCGCCCGGUAUCCCCCCGAGGGGGCGGCGCAGCCCGGCACGCCGCUCCGGCGCUUCCGCCGUGCCCCGGCCCCCCGCGGCGGCGGGAGCGCAAAUCUCAGCGAUGGAGAGGGCUGCCCUCCCUGCGGGCUCCCCCCCGCUCCCCGGCGGCUCCGGCCCCGGCUCCGGCCCCGGCCCCGGCCCCGGCGCGGUGUGGCCGGAGCAGCGCAGCGGUGCCGCCGCUCUGUGCCCGAGCUGCGCCGAGAAAACAAAGCUCCCCCUGCCGAGAGCGGGCCUUUAACUCCCCGCCGCAUCAAGAAAAGAAGAAGGAAGCGGUGAAGUCUGGCUGAGGACGUUAACUUGUGCCUCUACUAAAGCGAGGUGGAAACAUCAACAGUGCUGGUUUACGGCUACAGUGUCUCCAGAGCCUUUCAAUCAGUUGUCUUCAAAGAAAGAGCUUCAUCUUCUUCCUUUCUUCACGGCACUUCCUGCACUGCUGCAGGCAGCCUCAGACAGCAACUUUCUAACAUGUGAACAGCAGUGGCCACUCACGCUCCUGAUAAGGGAUGGCAGAAACAGCACACAUGUCAGAACAGUUGUUAAGUAGUUGAUGUAUGUAUCGGCAGCAACCCAUUAAUAUUUAAGCUUUCCAGUGGCACAUAUCUACUCCUCUUUCUUUGAAUUGUAAAUUGAGUUAGUUAAUCCUUCAUUUACUACUUGUUUGCAUUUCCCUGGUUUGGUAUACAAGUGUUUAUACCUUCAAUUUUUUCAUCCCUGUGUACUCAUUUAGAGCCAAAUAUAUAUAGCAUCCCUUCACAUCAGCUGGGCCUCCAGCACCAUGCUUAGAUUUACACUUUACUGGCCUUAGUCACUUGAGUAAAAUAUUUGAGGGCUGGUGAUCAAGUUCCAGGAAGCAGAACGGUGCCGUUCAUCUGGGAGCACAUGGUCCAGCCCGCUCAGGAAGGCUCCGUAAGGCUCCAGUCCCACAAGGGCUCACCUGUGAGCUUUGUUUAAUUGCCGUGGGUAGGCAAUGGCACAGCUUGCAGCAGCAGAACUACACACAUGCAUCACUGUUGAUAGGACUGAGGCUUUAAACUGGGGAUUUGGACAAUAAACUAUGAAAAUUACCAGA